rnacentral:rRNA from 1 species
GAUGAACGCUGGCGGCGUGCCUAAUACAUGCAAGUCGAGCGAACAGACGAGGAGCUUGCUCCUCUGACGUUAGCGGCGGACGGGUGAGUAACACGUGGAUAACCUACCUAUAAGACUGGGAUAACUUCGGGAAACCGGAGCUAAUACCGGAUAAUAUAUUGAACCGCAUGGUUCAAUAGUGAAAUACGGUUUUGCUGUCACUUAUAGAUGGAUCCGCGCCGCAUUAGCUAGUUGGUAAGGUAACGGCUUACCAAGGCAACGAUGCGUAGCCGACCUGAGAGGGUGAUCGGCCACACUGGAACUGAAACACGCUCCAGACGCCUACGGGAGGCAGCAGUAGGGAAUGUUCCGCAAUGGGCGAAAGCCUGACGGAGCAACGCCGCGUGAGUGAUGAAGGUCUUCGGAUCGUAAAACUCUGUUAUUAGGGAAGAACAAAUGUGUAAGUAACUAUGCACGUCUUGACGGUACCUAAUCAGAAAGCCACGGCUAACUACGUG